rnacentral:tRNA from 1 species
GCGGGUGUGGCGAAACUGGCAGACGCACCAGAUUUAGGUUCUGGCGCCUAACGGCGUGGGGGUUCAAGUCCCUCCACCCGCACCA